ACCAUGGCGGAAGCAUCAAAAUCAAAGGUGGAUGAAGUCAUGAAGAAAAACGUGGAAUUACUGGAUAAAAAAUUGGCAGAAUUAGUCAUAUCGCAUCGCCGAUUCAAGGAGAAGAAGAAGAUUGUCCUGAGACAAUACAUGAGAGCCUCAGUCGUUGUAAACAAGGCCUGGCCGCCAUUGGAAAGGACACCACAGCAUCCAAGACAGUGAAGGACUCGCAUAUAGGAAAAAUCUCCUAAUAAUUCAGCGUUGGAAAUCAGUGGUGGAGGGAGUGUAAACAAGAGUUAUCUUUUUAAGUUAUCUCUGCUUAAUAAAUUUACAAAGUUUUCCUGAUUA